UAAUAAACAGACGUUUCGGGUACAACCCUUUUUCGAUGCACCAUGUCCCUCGGAGGGAAGGACAUGGUGAUUUGAAAAAGGGUUGAACCCGAAACGUCUGUUUUAUUA